UACGUAGGGGGCGAGCGUUGUCCGGAAUUAUUGGGCGUAAAGAGCUCGUAGGCGGCUUAGUAAGUCGGCGGUGAAAUACCGAGGCUCAACCUCGGCACUGCCGUCGAUACUGCUAUGGCUAGAGUUUGGUAGAGGAGAACGGAAUUCCCGGUGUAGCGGUGGAAUGCGCAGAUAUCAGGAAGAACACCAAUGGCGAAGGCAGCUCUCUGGGACGGUACUGACGCUGAGGCGCGAAAGCGUGGGGAGCGAACAGG
rnacentral:rRNA from 1 species